GACGAACGCUGGCGGUGUGCUUAACACAUGCAAGUCGAACGGAAAGGCCCCCUUGUGGGGUACUCGAGUGGCGAACGGGUGAGUAACACGUGAGUAACCUACCCUUGACUUUGGGAUAACUUCAGGAAACUGGGGCUAAUACCGGAUAGGAGCUCCUGCUGCAUGGUGGGGGUUGGAAAGUUUCGGCGGUUGGGGAUGGACUCGCGGCUUAUCAGCUUGUUGGUGGGGUAGUGGCUCACCAAGGCUUUGACGGGUAGCCGGCCUGAGAGGGUGACCGGCCACAUUGGGACUGAGAUACGGCCCAGACUCCUACGGGAGGCAGCAGUGGGGAAUAUUGCACAAUGGGCGGAAGCCUGAUGCAGCAACGCCGCGUGCGGGAUGACGGCCUUCGGGUUGUAAACCGCUUUCGCCUGUGACGAAGCGUGAGUGACGGUAAUGGGUAAAGAAGCACCGGCUAACUACGUG
rnacentral:rRNA from 1 species